GGUUCAUUUAAAAUCAAAAGAAUAUUUGCCUACUAAAUACACAAAUAAAUAUGUAUAUUUAUAAAAAAAUAUAUGAUAUAAUUAUUACACUUAGUUACAAAUUACGACUAGGUGUUUUUUCAAUAAAUAUUUCAUUAACAAAAUGUAUGUACUUUUUAUUAGUCACAUAUUCAUAUCACAUGAAAUUUUUAGUAAAAAUCAGAAGGAUAAAGCAAUUUAGCUGCAGCCCCACGCCAUGUAUAAGCAUUUGUGUAGGCUGUUGUUAUCUUACAUGACAUUGGCAGAUUGAUUUAACAAAAUGAACACUUGUUUUCAUAACUUUUUUAUCUGAAUGCUUUAUAUAUGCAAUCAGGUAAUAGGA
rnacentral:lncRNA from 1 species